AUGAGUUGGCGUGCGUCACCGCUGGGUGUUGUGAAAAUCAAUGUGGACGGAGCUGUGGGGCGCCAUAGACGUGGCGGGGCAGUCGCAGCAGUGUGCCGAGAUCACACGGGAGCAUAUUUGGGUUCAUCAGCGGCUGUUUAUCGUGGUAUAACUGACCCCACAAUCUUAGAGAAAUUUGCGUGCAGGGAAGCUCUAGCUCUUGCAGAGGAUCUUCAGAUGACAAACAUGAUGAUUGCCUCGGAUUGCAAAGGAGUGAUUCAAGAUAUAAAUGAAGGAACAAGUGGUCCCCAUUUGGCUAUAGUACAUGAAAUAACACUUCAGAGAAGCUUCUUCAAUUCGGUUGUUUUUGUUUUCGAGCGUAGAAAUCAUAAUUUCAAGGCUCAUAAUCUUGCCAAGUUCGCUUGUAACUAA
rnacentral:rRNA from 1 species